rnacentral:tRNA from 1 species
GGGGAAGUGCUGGAAUUGGCAGACAGGCGUGGCUUAGGACCACGUGCCGCAAGGCGUGAGGGUUCAAAUCCCUCCUUCCCCACCA